rnacentral:lncRNA from 13 species
CUCUCAUGACAUCACAGGUCUUCCCCAGAUAUUCUACUCUCAUGACAUCACAGGUCUUCCCCAGAUAUUCUACUCUCAUGACAUCACAGAGAUUCUAUUUAUGA